CCUGUGUCCGUGGCAGUGUUUAUUCGACCGCUGGUCAUGUUAUUGAUUUUUGAUUAAGCCCAGAAGGCCACCUCUGUACAAACAAACAUGUUCUGGAGGCAAGAGAAGUUGAGUACUUGUGGAGAAUCUCCUCGAGGGAGGACUCUCGCUAAUUCCAAGUCAGGAAGAGAAGAACAACCCCAGCAUUCUGGGCAUGAACAGAGAGCCAAGGUGAUCACAAUUUACAAUGCCCCUUUAUAAAAAGGAGUUAUUGGAAGAAGGUGAGAUCAUUUCGUGGAAAAUACAAGCCGGGGGUCCGUAGAAUGGAAAUUUGACAAGGUUGGGAAUCUGUGAUCACGAUGAACGAGAUGGAGCUUGUGGUUGGAUCGGAAGGUUUUCUGGCCUCAGGAACUUUGGCC
rnacentral:lncRNA from 1 species